CCUACGGGAGGCAGCAGUGAGGAAUAUUGGUCAAUGGGCGGGAGCCUGAACCAGCCAAGCCGCGUGAGGGAAGAAGGUACAGCGUAUCGUAAACCUCUUUUGUCAGGGAACAAAGGCGGGGACUAGUCCCCGGAUGAGGGUACCUGAAGAAAAAGCAUCGGCUAACUCCGUGCCAGCAGCCGCGGUAAUACGGAGGAUGCGAGCGUUAUCCGGAUUUAUUGGGGUUAAAGGGUGCGCAGGCGGACUGUUAAGUCAGCGGUAAAAGCCCGGGGCUCAACCCCGGCGAGCCGUUGAAACUGGCUGUCUGGAGUUGGAGAGAGGUACGCGGAAUGCGCGGUGUAGCGGUGAAAUGCUUAGAUAUCGCGCAGAACCCCGAUUGCGAAGGCAGCAUACCGGCGGCGAACUGACGCUGAGGCACGAAAGCGUGGGUAUCGAACAGGAUUAGAUACCCGAGUAGUC
rnacentral:rRNA from 1 species